GCCGGGCGUGGUGGCUCAUGCCUGUAAUCCCAACACUUUGGGAGGCUGAGGUGGGUGGAUCACCUGAGGUCAGGAGUUCAAGACCAGCCUGGCCAACAUGGUGAAACCCCAUCUCUA
rnacentral:SRP_RNA from 2 species